rnacentral:rRNA from 1 species
CCUACGGGAGGCAGCAGUGGGGAAUCUUGCACAAUGGGGGAAACCCUGAUGUAGCGACGCCGCGUGAGUGAAGAAGUAAUUCGUUAUGUAAAGCUCUAUCAGCAGGGAAGAAAAUGACGGUACCUGAGUAAGAAGCCCCGGCUAACUACGUGCCAGCAGCCGCAUUAAUCCGUAGGGGGCAAGCGUUAUCCGGCUUUACUGGGUGUAAAGGGAGCGUAGACGGCAGUGCAGGUCUGGAGUGAAAGGCGGGGGCGCAACCCCCGGACUGCUCUGGAAACUGUACGGCUGGAGUGCAGGAGAGGUAAGUGGAAUUCAUAGUGUAGCGGUGGAAUGCGUAGAUAUUAGGAGGAACACCAGUGGCGAAGGCGGCUUACUGGACUGUAACUGACGUUGAGGCUCGAAAGCGUGGGGAGCAAACAGGAUUAGAUACCCUAGUAGUC